rnacentral:rRNA from 1 species
GGACUACCCGGGUUUCUAAUCCCGUUUGCUCCCCUGGCUUUCGCGCCUCAGCGUCAGUAGAGAUCCAGCAGGUCGCUUUCGCCACCGGCGUUCCUUCCGAUAUCUACGCAUUUCACCGCUCCACCGGAAGUUCCACCUGCCCCUACCUCCCUCUAGCUCGCCAGUAUCAGGGGCACUUUUCCGGUUGAGCCGAAAGAUUUCACCCCUGACUUGGCAAGCCGCCUACGCGCCCUUUAAGCCCAGUGAAUCCGAACAACGUUCGCACGGUUCGUCUUACCGCGGCUGCUGGCAC